rnacentral:rRNA from 1 species
CAGUAGCCACGGGAAUACGGAGGAUCCAAGCGUUAUCCGGAAUCAUUGGGUUUAAAGGGUCCGUAGGCGGUCUUGUAAGUCAGUGGUGAAAGCCCAUCGCUCAACGGUGGAACGGCCAUUGAUACUGCAGGACUUGAAUUAUUGGGAAGUAACUAGAAUAUGUAGUGUAGCGGUGAAAUGCUUAGAGAUUACAUGGAAUACCAAUUGCGAAGGCAGGUUACUACCAAUUGAUUGACGCUGAUGGACGAAAGCGUGGGUAGCGAACAGGAUUAGAUACCCGCGUAGUCCCUGUCUCUUAUAC